GCCGGGGUGGCCCAGCCUGGUAGGGCGUCGGCCUGCUAAGCCGAUGAUCCGUUAAGGAUCGCGCGGGUUCAAAUCCCGUCCCCGGCG
rnacentral:ncRNA from 16 species